ACGGAAGGCAGCAGUGGGGAAUAUUGGACAAUGGGGGAAACCCUGAUCCAGCGACGCCGCGUGAGUGAAGAAGUAUUUCGGUAUGUAAAGCUCUAUCAGCAAGGAAGAAAAUGACGGUACUUGACUAAGAAGCACCGGCUAACUACGUGCCAGCAGCCGCGGUAAUACGUAGGGGGCAAGCGUUAUCCGGAUUUACUGGGUGUAAAGGGAGCGUAGACGGCAUGGCAAGUCUGAAGUGAAAUGCCAGGGCUUAACCCUGGAACUGCUUUGGAAACUGUCUAGCUAGAGUGCAGGAGAGGUAAGCGGAAUUCCUAGUGUAGCGGUGAAAUGCGUAGAUAUUAGGAGGAACACCAGUGGCGAAGGCGGCUUACUGGACUGUAACUGACGUUGAGGCUCGAAGGCGUGGGGAGCAAACAGGAUUAGAUACCCUGGUA
rnacentral:rRNA from 1 species